rnacentral:lncRNA from 1 species
GUCAAGCAUGUGGUGUAUUGCUCAUUAACGGAAAUCUAGUAGAGUUGAAAUUCUUUAAUGUAGUUGAGUUGUUCUUUUAUUCCACUAAGUAUUUUAAAUUAAGGUUAUGGUUGUGCAUUUGGGCUUAAGUUGUGUUUACUAUAAUAUGCACUCACAAUUGGAGUCAUGAUACCUUAGGGAAGCCACAUGAAAUCACAAUUUUGCUGCUACUUAAUUGCAUUGUCUAAUUUAAAAAAGUGAUAUACUCACAAAUCUUAAUCUAGUGGUCUACUGUCUGUGAAUCUUCUUAUUUGUACAUAUGAUUUCUAUAUCUACAUCAUACUUUUACAUGUUGACAUUUUUAAGUCUCCGCGUUUAAAUUCAUAAAAAAGCAUAAGUCUUACAAUAACAUUUUAUGUCCCUUACACUCUUAACAAACAUAGUUCUUUAAAACCUUUAACAGCAUUUUCGGUCCUUUAUUUCUCAGUUUUAGGGAGGGAUUAGAUGAAGGCUUGUCAUAGGUGUUCUAACUUUUCUUGUUUGGGUUCCGUUAACUAUGCUAAAGUAAAUCAGAUUUCUCUACCUGAGCUUCUUGGUCUAAAAUGCCAUUGUCUUGUUUACAUAGUACAUAGUAGAAACUCUUGUUUACAAGACUGUUCUGAUGGAAGCCUUGCUCAGGAGAGGAAUUUCACACCUACAUGCAGGAACUACUUGCAAGCUUUGUGCUGAGGAAUAGAAAACUUCUAAACAUUUAUUUUCAGCAUUUAGGAUCAUUACCAACUUUGCCAGAUGAUAUACAUGCAAUUGGUUGAGAUUUGAAAUCACACUUCCAUAGUAUAUGAGAGGACAUGUCAUGAUGUGUACUGGUUUCUACCAACAAAAAAAGCCGGAAGUUUUGGAGCAUGAUAUAACUAUUCAUGAUAUGGUCAAUUUGGCUAGUGAGGACGACAUCAUAUUCAACCUCAGCAAGACCUCCUUCCAAAAAAUUGUAGAGACUACAAAGGUGAAAUCAUAGCUCUGGUUUUGAGGCAAAAGCAAACACACAGUAAUGUUGUACUCCAAAUGAAAUUUUAACCUAUAAAAAAGUAGGUUUUAUUGUUGAGUUAACAAAGAAAUCUAUAUUAGCAUUAUUUUUAGUGAUCUUGUCAUCUAAAAGGUUAAUUUGACUUCUGCUUUCUCCAUGGUUUUUGUUAAAAUAGUUGAGUUUUUGUUAGUUGGUUAGUUAGUUUGGUUAGAAUAGUUAGUUUUUCUAUCCUUUAUAUAAAAGAUUCAAUGUAAUUUUGCUUUUCCA